rnacentral:rRNA from 1 species
UUGAUCUGAAAUCAGGCGGGAUUACCCGC